rnacentral:pre_miRNA from 1 species
GCUCUGAAGCGAACGACGUCUGACGCCUAACGACAGCUCCCAGCUCGUGGAUUAGUCGACCAAACAAUGUGUCAGAUGGGUGGUUGAAGACUUCAUUG